rnacentral:lncRNA from 1 species
AUUAAAAAGAAGGAAUCUAAGACUAUUUUAAAAAUUUCUCUCAAUGAUUUAAUAUUUGGGUUUUAUGUAUUUUAUUCCAUUUUAGCACUGUGAGAUAGCAUGAUUGCCUAAAGGACUGUAUUAAAGAUGAGUGCACAGUUCUGUCUUAUUUAUCUGCUGUCACAUUGUUUUGACACAGAAGAAAGUCAAGUAACAUUGAUGAAGAGCUAAAAUAUGCUCUAACUGUGGAAAAAAUAAAUAUAAAUUGUCCAUAGUUGCUCAAUUUCUAAAGUAAAAGGAAAAAAUACAGUGUAAGACUGUGAAUUAGUUCAGGAAGGUAAACUUAAGUAAUGUUUAUUUAACUUCAAGAUUUCAGUGGCUUAACUCAACAAAGGUCUGCUUCUUCUGCAUGUCACGGGACAAUGCUGGUUGGUAUGGAUGGCUCUUCUCCAUGCAGUAAUUCAGAGACACAGGCUUCUUUCAUCUAGUGAUUUAUUUUUCCCUGCAGCUUCAGAUACUCUUUUUCCCUCUCUCUGGGAUCCUUUGCAUCUGUCUGGCAGAUAUGGAGACGGAAAGCACAAGAGGAUUGUGUUAGGAGUCUUAAGGGCUGGAUGUGACACUCCUUGAAAGGGAAGCUGGGGAAUGAGUAUGUAGGUGUGUGUCCAGGAUGUAGGGAAAAUGGGUUUGGUGGGGACAGCACUUCCUGGAAUAACGUUGCUUUGGAUUUAACAACAGUUGGGCAAAGGAGGUCGGUAUACAGAUACAGGACAAGAAGAGUGGUGUCAAAGGGAGGCUAAAUCAUUGGUUCUGGCUUCAUCUAAGGAAUUCUUAUGAGAAAUCGAGGGAGAGACUGUCCUGGGAAGUCUGAUGAAACAUAGCCCUCACAGAGAAACUUCCCUCCUGGUUAACUGGACCCAGGCAUGAGUCUUCGUUGAAACCGUGGGAGGAAGAAGAGUUUUACCAAUCACCAGUGCUGAAGAAAUCUCUCCUUUCUGGGCAGGAUGAGGGAAUCACUAAAUGACGACCAGAAUGAAAGUUCUAUGUCUACCCAGUGCCAAGUUCACCAUCUCUGUAACUAUUUGUUGGAUGAAUAUGUGAAUGAGUAGAAAAUAAAUCAACAUACUUUUUCAUCAAGACAGUAAAGUGGGCAGUGUUAAACUCUUAGGGUGACACAGACGAUUGCUUUAAAGAAAAAAUCAUAAAGAGUGAAAAAAUAGAAGACUUGGCUUAUGGUGUGGUGGCAUUUGACCAACUGUUCUUGUUGAGGUAGUGAUUUUUGAGGCAUCUGGUUUACAAACACCUCAAGGGUAUAGCCCAAACUUGGCAUCUUCUGGUAGUGGCAGAACACCCAGUAUUCAGGGCAUUGUUAAGUAUGACAAAGGGAGAGUCAAUAAAUCUCAAAUGCAUUC